GAUGAACGCUGGCGGCGUGCCUAACACAUGCAAGUCGAACGGUGAAGGCGGAGCUUGCUCUGCUUGAUCAUUGGCGAACGGGUGAGUAACACGUGAGCAAUCUGCCCCUGACUCUGUGAUAAGCGCUGGAAACGGCGUCUAAUACUGGAUACGAUCUGCGAAAGCAUCUUCAGCAGCUGGAAAGAAUUUCGGUCAGGGAUGAGCUCGCGGCCUAUCAGCUUGUUGGUGAGGUAAUGGCUCACCAAGGCGACGACGGGUAGCCGGCCUGAGAGGGUGACCGGCCACACUGGGACUGAGACACGGCCCAGACUCCUACGGGAGGCAGAAGUGGGGAAUAUUGCACAAUGGGCGAAAGCCUGAUGCAGCAACGCCGCGUGAGGGACGACGGCCUUCGGGUUGUAAACCUCUUUUAGCAGGGAAGAAGCGAAAGUGACGGUACCUGCAGAAAAAGCGCCGGCUAACUACGUG
rnacentral:rRNA from 1 species